GAAAUGCGAUAAGUAAUGUGAAUUGCAGAAUUCAGUGAAUCAUCGAAUCUUUGAACGCACAUUGCGCCCCCUGGCAUUCCGGGGGGCAUGCCUGUUCGAGCGUCAUUAUAACCCUCAAGCCCAGCUUGGUGUUGGGGCCUGCCGUCAGCGGCAGCCCCUAAAAUCAGUGGCGGUGCCAUCUGGCUCUAAGCGUAGUAAAUCUUCUCGCUAUAGGGUCCGGUGGACGCUGGCCAGCAACCCCAAUCUUUCUAUGGUUGACCUCGGAUCAGGUAGGGAUACCCGCUGAACUUAA
rnacentral:misc_RNA from 1 species